UUGAACGCUGGCGGCAGGCCUAACACAUGCAAGUCGAACGGUAACAGGAAGCAGCUUGCUGCUUUGCUGACGAGUGGCGGACGGGUGAGUAAUGUCUGGGAAACUGCCCGAUGGAGGGGGAUAACUACUGGAAACGGUAGCUAAUACCGCAUAACGUCGCAAGACCAAAGAGGGGGACCUUAGGGCCUCUUGCCAUCGGAUGUGCCCAGAUGGGAUUAGCUAGUAGGUGGGGUAACGGCUCACCUAGGCGACGAUCCCUAGCUGGUCUGAGAGGAUGACCAGCCACACUGGAACUGAGACACGGUCCAGACUCCUACGGGAGGCAGCAGUGGGGAAUAUUGCACAAUGGGCGCAAGCCUGAUGCAGCCAUGCCGCGUGUAUGAAGAAGGCCUUCGGGUUGUAAAGUACUUUCAGCGGGGAGGAAGGGAGUAAAGUUAAUACCUUUGCUCAUUGACGUUACCCGCAGAAGAAGCACCGGCUAACUCCGUGCCAGCAGCCGCGGUAAUACGGAGGGUGCAAGCGUUAAUCGGAAUUACUGGGCGUAAAGCGCACGCAGGCGGUUUGUUAAGUCAGAUGUGAAAUCCCCAGGCUCAACCUGGGAACUGCAUCUGAUACUGGCAAGCUUGAGUCUCGUAGAGGGGGGUAGAAUUCCAGGUGUAGCGGUGAAAUGCGUAGAGAUCUGGAGGAAUACCGGUGGCGAAGGCGGCCCCCUGGACGAAGACUGACGCUCAGGUGCGAAAGCGUGGGGAGCAAACAGGAUUAGAUACCCUGGUAGUCCACGCCGUAAACGAUGUCGACUUGGAGGUUGUGCCCUUGAGGCGUGGCUUCCGGAGCUAACGCGUUAAGUCGACCGCCUGGGGAGUACGGCCGCAAGGUUAAAACUCAAAUGAAUUGACGGGGGCCCGCACAAGCGGUGGAGCAUGUGGUUUAAUUCGAUGCAACGCGAAGAACCUUACCUGGUCUUGACAUCCACGGAAGUUUUCAGAGAUGAGAAUGUGCCUUCGGGAACCGUGAGACAGGUGCUGCAUGGCUGUCGUCAGCUCGUGUUGUGAAAUGUUGGGUUAAGUCCCGCAACGAGCGCAACCCUUAUCCUUUGUUGCCAGCGGUCCGGCCGGGAACUCAAAGGAGACUGCCAGUGAUAAACUGGAGGAAGGUGGGGAUGACGUCAAGUCAUCAUGGCCCUUACGACCAGGGCUACACACGUGCUACAAUGGCGCAUACAAAGAGAAGCGACCUCGCGAGAGCAAGCGGACCUCAUAAAGUGCGUCGUAGUCCGGAUUGGAGUCUGCAACUCGACUCCAUGAAGUCGGAAUCGCUAGUAAUCGUGGAUCAGAAUGCCACGGUGAAUACGUUCCCGGGCCUUGUACACACCGCCCGUCACACCAUGGGAGUGGGUUGCAAAAGAAGUAGGUAGCUUAACCUUCGGGAGGGCGCUUACCACUUUGUGAUUCAUGACUGGGGUG
rnacentral:rRNA from 1 species